AAAAUUAGAACCAGUUUAGUUACAGUACCUAAACAGUUAUUUCAAAUAUACGUAGCACCUAAUUAUUUAAUCAAUUAUUUUAAUAAGGAAAGUGGGCAACGGAAAAAUGUAAAGAGCAUUUAACGAAGCAGUUAAUUAGUUAAGUUUUAGUUUUCAGUAUUUUGCUAAUUAGAAUCGCUUGCCAAAGGAUUUGUGUUUCACGUAAUGAAAUUAAUUAACGUAGCUAUAUUUUGAGUUCCACCAUUUUUAUAUUAUUCAAUAAAGAAAUUAGGUGAGAAGUUUAACAAGCAAGUGUGUGGGAAAGUGACUAUUAAAAUACCAGACGAUAUUUACAUAUCAAAGUUUCUUUGCUUGAACGCGCUGAUCUCAGGAACUAUUGAAGUGUUUUGAACAAUCGUUUCAGUGCCUACAGUUUUCCUUCCUACUUUUUAUAUAGGUCCAAAUAUAUCCCAGAAUGCGGUUCAAAACCGUGGCGGAAGCUGGUUUAUGAUUUUUUGGCUUAUUUUUCAAAAUAAUAAAAUAGUGUUUUCAAAGUUUGACCGUGACAUAUUUUAUUCACACACAUUAACAUGACAAUAUAAUUCACACACACGUUAAUUUCCGAAAUUCCCACCACCAUUACAUUCCCAUUACAGUCUGUCAAAUUUCCUUGACGCGUCCGAAUCUCCGGCAAUAUGGCCGCGAAAGGGCGCGAAAUGAUUCCGCCAUUACUUUAUCUGUGGGAGGAAGUGACGUAAUAAGUUGCGGUGACGUUAAACAACCGUUUUGGCAGCAUUUGGCAGCGGAUGCCUCGCACGAUUAAUUCGACGUUUAACUUUGUAUUCAAAGCUUUGGUCACGAUUCGUCGCAACGAGACGCACGGAAGGGCUUGAUGUCCCCGCUCUACGUGUCUCUGGUUACUACAAAAUACUCUGCUUUGUAAAUCGGCGAGGGUACUCGAGAUUUUUCCGACAAAUUGUUUUAUUAGAUAAAAACGUUAGUUUUGGAACAGA